GAUGAAGAACGUAGCAAAAUGCGAUACUUGGUGUGAAUUGCAGAAUCCCGUGAACCAUCGAGUUUUUGAACGCAAGUUGCGCCCGAAGCCUUUUGGCCGAGGGCACGUCUGCCUGGGCGUCACGCAUCGCGUCGCCCCCCACAAUUCUCUGUAAAGGGAACUCGUGUUUUGGGGGCGGAUAUUGGUCUCCUGUGCUCAUGGCGUGGUUGGCCGAAAUAGGAGUCCCUUCGAUGGACGCACGAACUAGUGGUGGUAGUAAAAACCCUCGUCUUUUGUUUCGUGCUGUUAGUCGCAAGGGAAACUCUAAGAAAACCCCAACGUGUCGUCUUUUGACGGCGCUUCGACCGCGACCCCAGGUCAGGCGGGACUACCCGCUGAGUUUAAGCAUAUCAAUAAGCGGAGGA
rnacentral:misc_RNA from 1 species